CAUCAUCACCACCAUCCCUAGCAGUCUUUCAGGAGGAUGGUUUCUGGGAGACAUGAUUAAUCUUCCAGACCGGCAUUUAUAAAAGAUGACAACCCUUGGAAGAUCAGAACUUCCGAGGGUUUUAAU
rnacentral:sRNA from 1 species